UGGAUACCACCGACAAAAUGACAGAUUUAACAGCUUUUUAAAAUAUUUUAAUCAUAAAACCACCACCAUCACCAGACGAAUCAAGGUAACAGCAGCAGCGCCGAGUCUGAGCCAAGUUUCCCUAAGGAUUUUUCCUUCACUAUAUCAAGAAAACAAGAUGCUAAAGCUAGGGUUUUCUGACUGAAUAUAAAGAAGGUUGAUUUGCAAGUCAUGGAUUCUACACAACCCAGGAGUGAACACAUGAGAAACACCCCUCUUUCUCUAACGAUGUGCAGCGGUUCUCCUAGCUCCAAAAUCUCGUUAUAUGACUAAAGAUAUUCCAACUACAAUAAAACUGUUAUGGCAA